rnacentral:ncRNA from 1 species
UUGGUCCUAGCCUUAUAAUUGGUUCGAGGUAAAAUUACACAUGCAAAUGUCCAUGGCCCAGUGUCAAAUCCCUUAAGAUUUAUUCUAAAUUGAAGGAGAGGGCAUCAAGUACAUCCAAUAGCUUAAGACCCCUUGCCUAGCCACACCCCCACGGGCCCCAGCAGUGAUAAAAAUUAAGCAAUAAACGAAAGUUUGACUAAGUUAAACUUCUAAGGGUUGGUAAAUUUCGUGCCAGCCACCACGGCCAUACGAUUAACCCAAAUUAAUUAAUUCGGCGUAAAACGUGUUAUUAUAACCCCAAAAUAGAAUUAAAAUUCAACUUAUAUGUGAAAAUUCAUUGUUGACACUAAAACCAAUGACGAAAGUAAUUCUACUACACUUAAUACACGAAAGCUAAGACCCAAACUGGGAUUAGAUACCCCACUAUGCUUAGCCGUAAACUAAAAUAAUUAAAUAACAAAAUUAUUUGCCAGAGGACUACUAGCUACAGCUUAAAACUCAAAGGACUUGGCGGUACUUUAUACCCAUCUAGAGGAGCCUGUUCUAUAAUCGAUAAACCCCGUUAUACCUUACCACCCCUUGCUAAUACAGCCUAUAUACCGCCAUCUUCAGCAAACCCUCAAAGGUACCAGAGUAAGCAAAACCAUACUCAUAAAAACGUUAGGUCAAGGUGUAGCCCAUGAGGUGGGAAGCAAUGGGCUACAUUUUCUUAAUAAGAACAUUCACGUUACCCCUCAUGAGAUCUGAGGGACAAAGGAGGAUUUAGAAGUAAAUUAAGAAUAGAGAGCUUAAUUGAAUAGAGCAAUGAAGUACGUACACACCGCCCGUCACCCUCCUCAAACUAGGGAAACCACACCUAAAUACAUAAUUACAUUAAAACCCCUACAAGAUGAGACAAGUCGUAACAAGGUAAGCAUACUGGAAAGUGUGCUUGGAAUAAUCAUAGCGUACGUUAACACCUAAAGCAUCUGGCCUACAUUUACAAC